CGACCGGCGCACGGGUGAGUAACGCGUAUGCAACCUGCCCGUUUCAGCGGGAUAACCCGGAGAAAGUCCGGCCUAAUACCGCAUGUGGCCGAGGGGAGCAUCUUCUUUCGGCCAAAGGAGGCGACUCCGGAGACGGAUGGGCAUGCGUGACAUUAGCUAGUUGGCGGGGUAACGGCCCACCAAGGCGACGAUGUCUAGGGGUUCUGAGAGGAAGGUCCCCCACACUGGUACUGAGACACGGACCAGACUCCUACGGGAGGCAGCAG
rnacentral:rRNA from 1 species